UGCAAGUCGAACGAGAGAUGAGGAGCUUGCUCUUCAAAUCGAGUGGCGAACGGGUGAGUAACGCGUGAGGAACCUGCCUCAAAGAGGGGGACAACAGUUGGAAACGACUGCUAAUACCGCAUAAGCCCACGGCUCGGCAUCGAGCAGAGGGAAAAGGAGUAAUCCGCUUUGAGAUGGCCUCGCGUCCGAUUAGCUAGUUGGUGAGGUAACGGCCCACCAAGGCGACGAUCGGUAGCCGGACUGAGAGGUUGAACGGCCACAUUGGGACUGAGACACGGCCCAGACUCCUACGGGAGGCAGCAGUGGGGAAUAUUGCACAAUGGGGGAAACCCUGAUGCAGCGACGCCGCGUGGAGGAAGAAGGUCUUCGGAUUGUAAACUCCUGUUGUUGAGGAAGAUAAUGACGGUACUCAACAAGGAAGUGACGGCUAACUACGUGCCAGCAGCCGCGGUAAAACGUAGGUCACAAGCGUUGUCCGGGAUUACUGGGUGUAAAGGGAGCGCAGGCGGGAGAACAAGUUGGAAGUGAAAUCCAUGGGCUCAACCCAUGAACUGCUUUCAAAACUGUUUUUCUUGAGUAGUGCAGAGGUAGGCGGAAUUCCCGGUGUAGCGGUGGAAUGCGUAGAUAUCGGGAGGAACACCAGUGGCGAAGGCGGCCUACUGGGCACCAACUGACGCUGAGGCUCGAAAGUGUGGGUAGCAAACAGGAUUAGAUACCCUGGUAGUCCACACCGUAAACGAUGAUUACUAGGUGUUGGAGGAUUGACCCCUUCAGUGCCGCAGUUAACACAAUAAGUAAUCCACCUGGGGAGUACGACCGCA
rnacentral:rRNA from 1 species